ensembl:lncRNA
CUGGACAAUAGCAAUAUUUUUCAUGCAUAGGUUUGCAAAGGAACCUGAGAAAGUUAGGAGGGAAAUAGCACUUGCACUUAAGCUGUCUGGUUUCUUAAAAAAAAAAAAAAAGGUCCAAAUUAUGUGCUUCCCCUUCUCCUGCUCUCUAGUCUUUUGAACUUCCUCUAUUCAGUAAGAAACACCUUUUCAAGAGGGUUCACUUUCUUUCUGUAUUUUCCUGAACUCGUUCCUUUUUGUCAAAUUAUUUGUGCAGCAAAUUUUCAAUAAUACGCCACCAGUCCUAGCAGGAAGCUCCAACUCCCACUCCCAGACGGACAGUUUCGGGAAGAGCUGGGAAGGCAACUGAUAAGGAAAUAAGUCAUCUGUUGAAAGUGAGAGUGAACGACGAGCAGACUUCUCCUGCAAUGGGUUAGACCACAUGAUGGGGGAGACUGCAGCUGGGGUGACCACGCCUGCCAGAGCAACUCCUGCACGCAUGAACCCUGCUCCAAUGCAUGUGCUCCCCAGCUGCUCUGCUGCCAUUUCCCUGUGCCAGGACUGCACAUCAGCCAGCUGGACGCCUGCGCUUGGCAUCGGGCAGAGCCGGAGAGAAGCCACUGCGCUGUCUGUGCUGCCAGCGCAUCACCUGCAGACAGGGAAGCAAGAAGUGCAGGACAACUGAGUGAGCCUUAUGUAUGACAAGCCUGCCUUGGGUUCAGGGAAGACCCCUUUCCCAAGAGUCCAGCCUUCCUCUUUUCCAUGAUUACUGGAUUGCAUUAUGUUGUCUAGUGAGUUCAGUGCUCUUGCUUUCUAUCUGCACACUUCACUGUGCACUGAAACAGCAGUGUCGCAGUUCUGAUGUGGAAAGUCUCUCCAGGAGGUGGCUACAGCAAUGCCUGCAGCAUCCCCUGCUGCCAGCACAGUGGAUCGUCUCAGUCUCCAGUGUAGCUAUCAGUGCACCUUUGAGUUCCUGCAGUCAUCUGACCUCUGAACAAUGAGUGGCCAUUUUGGAAAAGAUGUAAUUGAUAAAGUUACACAGGCAGCACACCCCCACCCCCACCCAUGCUUUGGGUUAAAAAAAAAAAAAUAGAAAGAAAGAAAAAGCCAAAAGGCCCAACUAAAAAUGAGAUCUCUUCAUUCUCAGCUGAUUUUUGAAGCCAUGAAAAUAUUCACUUUUAAGGUGCCUUUUUUCCCCCCAGAGGAACCCAUAAAGUAGACAUUGGCAUCUCCGCAAUAGCAGAGCAUGCGAGCACACCAAGUAGCUGACCACUCUAAAGGUCAAGCAACAGCACCUCAACUUUCCUUAACGAUGGAUGGGCAUGACCCCUGUUUUUGAACAGUCGGUCUCUUUGAUGAAACUGUGGAGAAACUGAAUAAUCCAAGGAGCGGGCAGUCAUAUUAGGUAAGUCAUGUAUUAACCUGAAACUAAACUGCUGUGAGAUUUUGAGUAAUCGUCCAGGCAAGAAGUCUUCCCAGCCCUCCCCACCUCUCAUGCAACCAUGUCAAGAGGGUCAAUGAACCCCCUUUGUACUAUCCAAAUAAUUGGUCCAAAACCAGUGAUUUCUACCACAAAGAUAAUAGACAAUAUUUGUCAAGCCUCCUCUCUUGUGACUGUCUGCUAGACCAAGUGAUCAGCAAGUACCAAGAACUCUGUUAACAGCAAUGCAGAACAAGGUAUUGCUCUAACAGCAAGCCAAACCUAUCAAGAGAGUAAUCUACCAGAGAAACUUCAGUGUGCCCACUCCAGAAAUCUUAGACGCCGAGCAAAUCACACGGCAAGGCAAAAGCAAAGGGAGCAGCAGAGAGAAUGGGCUCAAGAGCUCUGUUGCUGAAGCAGGGCAGGACUUUGCAAGGCCAGGAUCUGGAUCUCCAAAACACCUGCUUGGAGACUGCCAGGGAAAAGGGCAGAUACUGGCUCCAACGUGCUCUUCGAGUUGCUUGAUCUCCCUCACCAUUGUCCUUCUAGUGAUAACGCCGCAGUGUUACUCAGGCCAAAGACCUCUUCCAGUCUUUUGGGAUGGCGCACGCUUCUCCCACACAGCAGGAGCAGCCCCUCUUCCCCUUCCACGUGGGACGAGGGACACCAAGGACCAGGAAGGGCCCAGCAGCUCCAGGCUGCUGCCUCCCUUCUCCGGGCACCGGGGGCUGUAAAACCCCUGGAGCCCAGCAGGCCUGGGCAGGCAGCUCUGCCCUCUGCUCCACGCAGAGGCCUGUGCACCAGGCCCAGGAGCACCCCAGCGCCUGCCCGGGCUGCACCGAAAGACAGGAAAGCUCUGAAGGCGUCGAAUAAAGCUUCUGCCAGCACAUCA